CCCGCCGGACCUGACUGCUAUCGGAUUGAUACUAAGCCAUGCGAGUCUUUGUAGUAAUACAAGGCAGACGGCUCAGUAACACGUAGUCAACCUACCCUAUGGACAAGAAUAAUCUCGGGAAACUGGGCAUAAUUCUUGAUAGAUCAUAAUGCCUGGAAUGGUUUAUGGUUAAAAUGAUUCGUCGCCAUAGGAUGGGACUGCGGCCUAUCAGCUUGUUGGUGAGGUAAUGGCCCACCAAGGCGAUUACAGGUACGGGCUCUGAGAGGAGAAGCCCGGAGAUGGGUACUGAGACACGGACCCAGGCCCUAUGGGGCGCAGCAGGCGAGAAAACUUUGCAAUGUGCGAAAGCACGACAAGGUUAAUCCGAGUGAUUUCUACUAAAGAAAUCUUUUGCCAGUCAUAAAACCACUGGUGAAUAAGGGGUGGGCAAGUUCUGGUGUCAGCCGCCGCGGUAAAACCAGCACCUCAAGUGGUCAGGAUGAUUAUUGGGCCUAAAGCAUCCGUAGCCGGCUUUGUUAGUUUUCGGUUAAAUCCAUGUGCUCAACGCAUGGGCUGCCGAAAAUACUGCAUAGCUAGGGAGUGGGAGAGGUAGACGGUACUCAGUAGGAAGGGGUAAAAUCCUUUGAUCUAUUGAUGACCACCUGUGGCGAAGGCGGUCUACCAGAACACGUUCGACGGUGAGGGAUGAAAGCUGGGGGAGCAAACCGGAUUAGAUACCCGGGUAGUCCCAGCUGUAAACGAUGCAGACUCGAUGAUGCAUUGGCAUAAUAGCCAGUGCAGUGUCGCAGGGAAGCCGUUAAGUCUGCCGCCUGGGAAGUACGUACGCAAGUAUGAAACUUAAAGGAAUUGGCGGGGGAGCACCACAAGGGGUGAAGCCUGCGGUUCAAU
rnacentral:rRNA from 1 species